ACUCCUGCGGGAGGCAGCAGUGGGGAAUUUUGGACAAUGGGCGAAAGCCUGAUCCAGCAAUGCCGCGUGAGUGAAGAAGGCCUUCGGGUUGUAAAGCUCUUUUGUCAGGGAAGAAACGGUGAAAGCUAAUAUCUUUUGCUAAUGACGGUACCUGAAGAAUAAGCACCGGCUAACUACGUGCCAGCAGCCGCGGUAAUACGUAGGGUGCAAGCGUUAAUCGGAAUUACUGGGCGUAAAGCGUGCGCAGGCGGUUUUGUAAGUCUGAUGUGAAAUCCCCGGGCUCAACCUGGGAAUUGCAUUGGAGACUGCAAGGCUAGAAUCUGGCAGAGGGGGGUAGAAUUCCACGUGUAGCAGUGAAAUGCGUAGAUAUGUGGAGGAACACCGAUGGCGAAGGCAGCCCCCUGGGUCAAGAUUGACGCUCAUGCACGAAAGCGUGGGGAGCAAACAGGAUUAGAAACCCGGGUAGUCCCA
rnacentral:rRNA from 1 species